UUGCACGCUUGAUUUGUGCCUCGAGCGUGUCUGGUUGUAUUAGCGCUUGGUAAAAAAGCAAUGCCGUCAUGUCAUGACCAAGAUGUCUGCAACGCGAAGAGACGAGCGGUUGUUUUAGUGCACAACUAUGGUUGUUUAUAGAAGAGUGGCCCAUUGAAGGGUCCUUAAGGGUUAAUAAAUGAUGAUGAAUAGCCAUUUGUUUACAGAAAAUUAGCUAGGUGGAGGAAGGUUAACCCCUUAAGUUUAGGCACUAAUUGUUUGGUUCCGUUGAAAAUGUUCCACCACAUUUCUUGCAUCAGAAGCGUAAAAAAGUAUACAACUGCAGAAUAUAUUACGAGUUUUCGAUUCUCCAGUGUGCAUUUCAGUGAAUUUGGCAGUGUAGUCUCCGUACAAGCUUCUACAGAAACGCAAGAUAUGGUGAACCUGCUAAAUGACAAACACUGACAGCAAACACCCAGCAUUAAGCGAGAUCACGUUGCACUUAUUAUUCAAACUUUCAGCACAGGUCCAAUCAGGAGUGUUUCAGGAUGUAUGCAACAUGUUCUAAAUAUUUUCAUAUGUGCUUUUGAAUCACUCAUCUUGGUGCAGAGCCUGAGGGGGUGUAAAUCUAGGGAAAAAUUGUCUACUUAGGAAGGGGGGUAGAGCAUAAAGCUACAAAGAAAGCCCAUACAGGUUCUGAGAAAAAGCUUUGUACUUGAAAAAUACAUCCUGGUCUGGACAUUGAACCUGGCACCAUUGCUUCACCGGGCAAAUUGCUCUGCCAUCCGAGUUACCCUAAUGUGCGAUUUUUGUGUAGCUGAAGUGGAAAGGGGCAUCUUGAAUUAAAGCAUGCUUCAAUGCUGUGGUUAUGGCCCCACUUGGAUGACCAGAAAGUGUGUUGCCAUAUUACGUUGUUACUGCAGUCAAAGUACAUUUCCCAAUCAGCAGCCACUAACCCAAAGUUUUCUAAGAAACUUGAGGCAAUAAAAAUAAAGUCCUUACUUUAAAAGUAUGCAGGCUGGUAUUCAACAUUAUUUCCACCUUUUCCAUUUUUGAGAGAGCAUGAUGCAUUUAACUAUACUGUAGUUCUGGUUAGUUAAUGCAAACAAAGGUUUGACACUGACAGUGUUGCUGUCUUCAAAACAA